CACCUUAGAUUAUACAUCUCUCUUAUUGAUCUUAUUUAUUGUCUAUUCCAUCUCUUGGAAUGUAAGUCACUGUUGGAGAAAAUAUUUAGUUUGUCUUUUUUUUGCAUUGUGUCUUGGUGCCUAGAAUAGCGCCUGGCACAAAGUAGGCACUUAUUAAAUAUUUGUUAGAUGAAGGCGGGGGAUUUAGCUCAGUGGCGCCGUGCCUGCCUGGCAAGCUCAAGGUCCUGAGUUCAAUCCCUGGUACAUAAAAAAAAAAGAAAAAUAUUUGUUAGAUGAGUGACUGGAUGGAGAGAUGGAUGGGUGGAUGAAUGGAUGGGUAGAUGGGUAAAUGGAGUAGCAGUGAGACAGAUGUUCCAUUGGCCUCUGACUUCCAAGCAACAUCUGCAUCCCAAAAGUGUUGGUUGGGGCCGGGGAUUUAGCUCAGUGGUUUUGCUGCCUGCUGCGCAAGCGCAAGGACCUGAGUUUGAUCCCCGGUACAAAAAAAAAAAAGUGUUGGUUGGCCCCUUGUUCAUCCUACCUGGGUCUGAGAGUGAACAGACUCCAAAAGCUCAGAGUUCAUUGGUCCUGGAAUUCAAUUGUUUCCUCCCUCAGUUGUCUUAAAAUGCUCCUGAUGUGGACCACAGAGUGACCACUCCCCUCUUCCUUUUCCUCAGGGUACAGAUGGGUGCUUGCGGCCUUCUCCUUUCUCAGCUGUUGCUUGUAACCAGCAGCAGUUCUGUGUGAGGUAUUGCUUGGGCUGUUGCACUUGGAACAUUCUAGAAACCUCAUGGCCCAAUGAGAGAUACCAAAGCUCUAACUGCAGCGAUGGUUCCGGCAACCCUUGGCACCCUGUAGAGUUGAAAACAAGAAGUGUCACUUUCCAGCCAGCCCUUGCAAGCAGCUCAGGGGACACUCUACCUCAACCAGGGAUGGAAGCCCGAACCUGGUGCAUGUGAGGCAAGCACUCUACCACCGAGCCGCACCCCAGGGCUGAACAGGCCCAUGCAGGAAGGAACUGGGGCCUCCUGCCAACAGCCACAUGAGUGAGCUGUGCAGUGGAUCCUGAGCCUCAGUCAAGCCUCUGAGACCACAGCCCCCAACAGCAGCUUGACUGCAGCCACGUGACAAGCCCAGAGCCAGAGCUACCCAGCUCAGCUGCUCCCACAUCCCUGACCCUCAGAAACUGUGAAAGGGGAAAUGUGUGCUGUCUUAAGCAUUAAGUUUCGGAACAGUUCCUUACCUAGAAAUAGAGAAUGCAUUCAGGCUUCCUAUUGAGGCCACAGCUAAAGCCAGUUCCACUGAUGCAUGCACGAGGUAGUAAAGUGAACGGGGCUAAGCAUCUCUUGCCCUAGGGCCUAGCCCCAAAUCCCCAGAAACACGCUCCUUGGUGUUGGACAAACCAUGUCACCAAUCCGGACUGUGGUAAUUUGCAAAGUGACACCUUUGCUGUAGCUGACACCAUACCUUUUCCAGCUCAAAGAGCCUCAAACUUGAGAGUGAGAAAGCAGGAGAGGGGUGGGGUACACAGGGGCCAGAGCGCCUAGGUCUGGUAGAUGUGAGAUGAUUUCAAAGGAGCCCCACGGGGCCUUUUCCCCGUCUGGGUGGGUGAGGCUCUGCCUAAUAAAAUAGAAGACUUUU